UAUUACCAUCUUUACUUUUGGUUCCACUGUCUCAACCAAGCUGUGAGGGUAAAGGUUAAUAAAGACAGAAGAGCUGGACAUGGUCCAAAUAGACUGGGGACUGUGAAGCUCUCAGCUGCAGGUGCCUCAGCCAGAAGGAACUUUCUCAGCACCCUACAAGCAGUUCUGUGCUCGCCAGAAAACUAAAGCCCGUGGAAAUGACAAAGCACGAUCACCAACAAGACACUGCUGAACUUUAAGCAUCUCCUCCAUCCUCCCAAACCAAGAAUUCUCAUAGAAAACUGGGACAAGCUUGCAGACUGAAUUUUCUUCUCUCUUGCAAGAACCCUCAGGCAUGAAAAUACCUGGAGAGUGUACAUGAGGUUUAAGUGAGAAAAUGACAUCUGGCAUAAUGCCUGGAACAUAAGAGGUACUCAAUAAAGCCCUCACUGAUUGGCACAAUCUUGAAAAUAAGCCAGAUCAAAACAGCCCUGCUGUUUUAGAAGUCUGUGCCAGGAUUACCAUCUACAAAGAUCUUUGGAGACCAAUAAAUCUUUAAGUUCUUCUAUGGGCUAAUUAUUCCACCACCUACCUCGUUUCACCAGAAAGAAAGCCAAGAGUCAUCUGGGUCUUCUACUUCCCACCAUCACCAUGUCCUGAAUAGCCUACUUCCGUGACUCUGGUAUUGUCUCUCCAUCCAUUAUUCAAAAAAUUCAAACAGGUUUCUAACUGCCUCAAAGCUCAUAUCUCCUCUCAAGAAUUCACCCACCACCCUUUCCACCACCAAUUAAUAGUUAUAAGAUUUGAGACUGAGUCAUCAAUCCCAUUCCUAAACUCUACUUUUGUCCAUGAAUCACAAGUCAAGAUCACACGAUUUCUCCAGACCA
ensembl:lncRNA